rnacentral:rRNA from 1 species
UGCAGAGAACUUUCCAGAGAUGGAUUGGUGCCUUCGGGAACUACUGACACAGGUGCUGCAUGGCUGUCGGUCAGCUCGUGUCGUGAGAUGUUGGGUUAAGUCCCGUAACGAGCGCAACCCUUGUCCUUAGUUACCAGCACGUUAUGGUGGGCACUCUAAGGAGACUGCCGGUGACAAACCGGAGGAAGGUGGGGAUGACGUCAAGUCAUCAUGGCCCUUACGGCCUGGGCUACACACGUGCUACAAUGGUCGGUACAAAGGGUUGCCAAGCCGCGAGGUGGAGCUAAUCCCAUAAAACCGAUCGUAGUCCGGAUCGCAGUCUGCAACUCGACUGCGUGAAGUCGGAAUCGCUAGUAAUCGUGAAUCAGAAUGUCACGGUGAAUACGUUCCCGGGCCUU